AUUGAACGCUGGCGGCAGGCCUAACACAUGCAAGUCGAACGGUAACAGGAAGAAGCUUGCUUCUUUGCUGACGAGUGGCGGACGGGUGAGUAAUGUCUGGGAAACUGCCUGAUGGAGGGGGAUAACUACUGGAAACGGUAGCUAAUACCGCAUAACGUCGCAAGACCAAAGAGGGGGACCUUCGGGCCUUUUGCCAUCGGAUGUGCCCAGAUGGGAUUAGCUAGUAGGUGGGGUAACGGCUCACCUAGGCGACGAUCCCUAGCUGGUCUGAGAGGAUGACCAGCCACACUGGAACUGAGACACGGUCCAGACUCCUACGGGAGGCAGCAGUGGGGAAUAUUGCACGAUGGGCGCAAGCCUGAUGCAGCCAUGCCGCGUGUAUGAAGAAGGCCUUCGGGUUGUAAAGUACUUUCAGCGGGGAGGAAGGGAGUAAAGUUAAUACCUUUGCUCAUUGACGUUACCCGCAGAAGAAGCACCGGCUAACUCCGUG
rnacentral:rRNA from 1 species